UGUUGUUUCAGGAACCCCCUCAGACGGAGGAAGAGCAGCAUCCUCUGCUUUCUCAUUCUCAACACCUGGCUCUUCAACGCUCUCCUUUGCGUGUUCCUCUGACUUCGCUCCUUCAAAACCAUUUUCGCUAGCUAGACCAUCGGGUUUACUCUCAUCGACCCUUAGCCGCUUGGCAUCUGGCGAAUCUCCAUCAACCACAUCAUCAGCUUCCUUAUCUGCAUCGGGCUCAGCGCUCAGGUCAGCUUCCUGUUCGGGAUUGGUCUCAGUCGGAUGAGGAGCUUCAGGCUCUAAAUCUUCAAGCUUGCGCUUGUGAUCAGAGGGUACGGGACUAGCCGCCGGAGCAACAACCUCUUCCUCCGCCAUUGGGAUCAAGAAGACUCCAAAACUAACCCUAGGUAAGCUAACUUGAGACCAGAAAGAGCAAAUACAAGGGUUUGGUGGUGCUAUUGAGUGUAUGAAGGCUGUGAAGAAGGGUUUUACUAGUGAUCUACAGAGAAAGAGAAGGAACGAUACAAGAGGAGACAGGAAAUUGUAUCCGAAUCAAUCCUGUAGAGAAAGGGUUUAAGGCCUUUUAA
rnacentral:misc_RNA from 1 species